UAUAAAGACGGGAUCGGACCGGGGGUAAUAGUGGGGGGGUAAGGUGUGUCCGUCAUUAGUGGGUGGAAAGGGCUGGUGGUGGGCGUGUGGCGGCGGCCGUGAAAGCCCGAGUCUCAACCUCGGGCGUGCGGUGGGUAGGGGCAGGCUAGAGUGUGGUAGGGGAGACGGGAACUCCGGGUGUAGCGGUGAAAUGCGCAGAUAUCAGGAAGAACACCGAUGGCGAAGGCAGGUCUCUGGGCCAUUACUGACACUGAGAAGCGAAAGCAUGGGUAGCGAACAGGAUUAGAUACCCGUGUAGUC
rnacentral:rRNA from 1 species